rnacentral:tRNA from 1 species
GCAAGUGUACCCAAGUCUGGUUUAAGGGAGUGGAUUGCAACCCCACUUGUCGCAGGUUCAAAUCCUGUCACUUGCUCCA